rnacentral:rRNA from 1 species
GACGAACGCUGGCGGCGUGCCUAAUACAUGCAAGUCGAGCGAACAGAAGCAGCAGAAUUACUUCGGUAAGGACGCUGUGGAAGUUAGCGGCGGACGGGUGAGUAACACGUGGGUAACCUACCCUUAAGACUGGGAUACCACUUGGAAACAGGUGCUAAUACCGGAUAGGAGUAUGAGCUGCAUGGCUUAUACUUUAAAGGCGGCGAAAGCUGUCACUAAAGGAUGGACCCGCGGUGCAUUAGCUAGUUGGUAAGGUAACGGCUUACCAAGGCGACGAUGCAUAGCCGAGUUGAGAGACUGAUCGGCCACAUUGGGACUGAGACACGGCCCAAACUCCUACGGGAGGCAGCAGUAGGGAAUCUUCCACAAUGGACGCAAGUCUGAUGGAGCAACGCCGCGUGAGUGAAGAAGGUUUUCGGAUCGUAAAGCUCUGUUGUUGGUGAAGAAGGAUAUAGGUAGUAACUGGCCUAUAUUUGACGGUAAUCAACCAGAAAGUCACGGCUAACUACGUGCCAGCAGCCGCGGUAAUACGUAGGUGGCAAGCGUUGUCCGGAUUUAUUGGGCGUAAAGCGAGCGCAGGCGGAGAAAUAAGUCUGAUGUGAAAGCCCACGGCUCAACCGUGGAACUGCAUCGGAAACUGUUUUUCUUGAGUGCAGAAGAGGAGAGUGGAACUCCAUGUGUAGCGGUGGAAUGCGUAGAUAUAUGGAAGAACACCAGUGGCGAAGGCGGCUCUCUGGUCUGCAACUGACGCUGAGGCUCGAAAGCAUGGGUAGCGAACAGG